GUCCUUGCCUUCCUGUCCUCUGCUCCACAGUGCCAUGGGACAGGAACAAUGGGGGUUCCCCCUGUGGUUUUGCCAAAACAGUGAGAAGGAAAGGCAGGGAGGGAUGCAGUGACCACUGGCUGUCUCUCCAGACCCACUUGGCCCUCACACCAUUGUCCUGCAGCCCAGCACAACCACUUUGGCUAGGAGCAGAGCAAUGCUGAAACCUGCAGGACCACUCUGACGUGGCUUUGAGGAGCACCUAGAAUGGGGCAAAGAGUUGACUGGCAAUGAUCUGGGUCCUGAAAGCAGCAGGAUGGACUCUGCUCACCAGCCUCUUGUUCUGGCACCUGUGAGAGGGUUCUGAGGUAUGCCAGCAACUCCCAGGGCUUCAAGAGGUGGGCCUUGGGCUGGGGGCAUUGCUGCCUGGGGCUGUGACAGACCACCGUGUGCUCUGUCACUGCGAUCUGAUCUCUCUGUACCUCGUGGCUGUGCAGAUAAAGUCUGUUCUGGUGGCAGCAUCUCAUUUUCCACUCCACGAUUCCUUUGUGCUGCUGGUGGCAGCUGGAAGGUGUUGAGGAGAAAAGAGCUGUCCAGAGCCUCACCCCUGUGUUUGGAGAUGUAUUAAAAGCGAUUUUCCUUGUA